UCGCUACUACCGAUUGGAUGGCUUAGUGAGAAACAGAGACUGUGGUGCAAGUUGGUUUCGGUCAAUUUGUGCUGUGGGAACUGUUUCAAACUUGACCAUCUAGAGGAAGUAA
rnacentral:rRNA from 1 species